UACGGGGGGUGCGAGCGUUGUCCGGAAUCACUGGGUUUAAAGGGUGCGUAGGCGGGCAGGUAAGUCAGUGGUGAAAUCCUAGAGCUUAACUCUAGAACUGCCAUUGAUACUAUCUGUCUUGAAUAUUGUGGAGGUAAGCGGAAUAUGUCAUGUAGCGGUGAAAUGCUUAGAUAUGACAUAGAACACCUAUUGCGAAGGCAGCUUACUACGCAUAUAUUGACGCUGAGGCACGAAAGCGUGGGGAUCAAACAGG
rnacentral:rRNA from 1 species